AUAGGGUAAGGAGGCAAGACGGGGGGAACUGAAACAUCUAAUUACCCCCAGGAAGAGAAAGUAAUAACGAUUCCCUAAGUAGCGGUGAGCGAAAAGGGAAGAGCCUAAACGGUAAUGAGCGUGAUAGUCGGUAGACGUUGCUCAUUACCGGGUCGUGGGACCUGAUCUGAUUCUGCUACCGCAGAAUCAAAGAGUUAACAAGUCUUUUUCUAGCCGAAAUGACAUUGGAAAAGUCUACCCUAGAUGGUGAUAGUCCAGUAGGCGAAAGGAAAGGACCUCUUUUUUCAGGCACCCGAGUAUCAUGGGAUAAGGGAAGCCCUGUGAGAAUUUAGGAGGACCACCUCCUAAGGCUAAAUACUAACUGGUGACCGAUAGUGAACUAGUACCGUGAGGGAAAGGUGAAAAGUACCCCGGGAGGGGAGUGAAAUAGUACCUGAAACCGUAUACCUACAAGCAGUGGGAGCACUAUUUUUUAAGAUUUAUCUUAGGAAAGUGUGACCGCGUGCCUUUUGUAGAAUGAGCCGGCGAGUUACGAUAUCUAGCUAGGUUAAGCAGCAGCUGCUGCGGAGCCGCAGCGAAAGCGAGUCUUAAAUAGGGCGAUUUUAGUUAGGUGGCGUAGACCCGAAACCGAGUGAUCUAACCAUGGCCAGGGUGAAGCAGGUCUGAUCGCCUGUGAAGGCCCGAACCCACUUAUGUUGAAAAAUGAGGGGAUGAGCUGUGGUUAGGGGUGAAAGACCAAUCAAACUCGGAGAUAGCUGGUU
rnacentral:rRNA from 1 species